rnacentral:lncRNA from 1 species
GAUAACAAGCUUCACACUCGGGAUAAUAUAAUGAAGCAAACAAUUUCACACAAUAAGUAUCACAAUAGCAAGUGAUCAAAAUAAAGCAAUAAACAAAAGUAGCUAUGUCAUAAAAGAGUAAAAUUGUCUUACAAGAACCAAAACAGAAUCUGUUUUGCAUAAAAUAAUGAGUUAAGGUAUUCCAAAAAUUCUGAAAUUUUACCUAUUGAUAAAUAAGAUCACUAGUAAUCAGUAGCAAAAAGAAUCAAUUAAAAAUCUAUUUUUAAACUCCGGAUAUUAACAAAAUAAUAUUUAAACCAAAUCUGCUUUAAUUCAAACUUAAAUUUUCAAACAUGGUCAAAUUUUAUAUCUACAGAAACUACAUAAAAUGUUCGAUCCAAGGAAAAAGGAAUCACCUAAUUCGGAGUUAUAGACUAAUAGAUAUAAAUUUUAUAACUUUGCUCUUUUUAUGGAAAAAAACUAUUACGGGAUUUUUUUUUGAAGCUCACCGAAGUUAGUCGUCGGAGUUGGAGAAGACGACUGGAAGGUGGCUCCGGUGGCGUAGGUGGGCGACAAGGCGGGGGGGGGGGCAGCCGGCGAAGGGAUGCGGCGGGCGCUCUCUAGAGGCGUCACGAGCGGCACUAGGGCGCUGGGGCGAGGCAGGUGCUCCUGGCUCGGUGCUCCUGGGGUGGGUCUCCGGCGAGAUGGGUCGGCGGCGCUAGAGGUGAGGAGAGGGGCGGUUCUUGGGGAAAAUGGAGAGGCGGGUGUGGGGAUCAUUUAUAGGGUGACGGGAGGCGAGGGGAAGGAAAGCUUGAGGAGAUCAGGGAAGAAAUCGGCGCCAUGGUGAGUUCCUGGAAGAAACCGUGCUCUGGAAGGAAAGUGACGAGAGGUAGGAGAAGGAGGAGCAACGGGUUAGAUUGGUUUCGUAUUGAGCCCAGGACAUAUUUCCAAAUAAACACGAUUUGUUUCCUUUUUAUAAAAACAGGAAAGAAAGCUACAAAAGGAAUUAAAUCAUUUCACGAAAAAUACAAGUAUUGUAUAUCAAAAUUCUCAGAAAAAUAUUGCCCACCACGUGGACAAUUUAUUUUUCAUGAAAUAAAAACUUUAUAAAAAAAAUUAAAUCCAAGUUUUGCCUUUAAAAAUUUUUGGCACUAUUUUCUUCUAACUUUUAUUUAUUUUGGGGGUGUCAUGUUACCUCCUAUCUUUCUUGCUUGGCAAGUAUAUUGUCAAGAAAAAGUUUGUGGUUGAAAUCUUGUGCCAAAAAUAAAUUCAAAUAAUGAUACCGAAAGAAAUUCAAAUGCCACCUUGAUUCAAAUUAUUUAUAGUUGAAGAAGUCAUGUUAUCUUCUCUCACUGAUUUUUAAACGGAUGAAUUUGAAUUCAUUGGAAAAGGGAAAAGUCAUUUUAUUCCCUCUCGUUCAAAAGUUUUAAAAAGUUUCAAGUUUCACUCAAGUUUUCAAUCACUCAAACAAACAAAAAAUCAAUCCAAUAAUUAUAUUAACAUUCCAAAAUUUGGGAUGUUACAAAGGGUCGAAAGCACUCCGCGGCUCCUUCUUCAUCGGCGGGUGGUGGGAUGGGUACUUCGAUUCCUGCCGCGCCUCUUCGGACAGCGUUGCUCUCUACUCUGCAUGGAGUGGCCAUUUCUUCGACUCUCGCGGCCCCCGUAAGAGGAGGUCGACCCCCCACAAAGCCGAGAGAUACUAAAGGUAUUGCUCAUGUUGGUACUUAUGUUGGUAUUUAUAUACAUUUUAUUACUCAUGUUGGUAUUUAUGUUAUACUAAAGGUACACGUGACCGCGGGAGAGGUAGGGCGGUGGCUGCCACGCCUUCCUCGCCGCCACCCCAAGCUAAUUCACCUGAGCACAUGACUUAUAGGGUGGAUUCGUCUAAGGUGGAGGAUACACGGUCUCCAUUUCACGAGCCUCAGGUCGACGAGCCUUCGACCCACAAGACUCGUGUCCCAGAGGCUUCAUUCCAGGCGACUUCGGAGAAAAGCAGGGAUGAGGGUACGUCCCGAGAGACCCAGUGGGAUAUCUAGGCUGAUUUGGGUCAGCCUGAGCCAAGUGGCCAUGCUAAUAGCGACGAGGAGCUGGGUGAGGGGGCCACCGUCUACCAGCGUGGUAGUUCGGGGCUCCGGCUCGUGCCGGUGACCCGCGAGGAGAGGUGGUCGAUUAAGCCAAAUGGGGACAAGUAAGUUAAUUUACUCUUAUUUAACCUUUUACCUUCACGUUUUCUCAAAUAUUUAAUGUUUUGGCUUUAAUUUGUCAUACUGCACGGGUUGGAUUGCUGCCAAGGGUGUCCGCAAGCCCAACAUCGUCCUUAGUGUCCUUUGCCGUCAAAACUUCCCGGGGUUUGUUACGUUGCCCGGUCGGGAGCGAGAGGUAGGAAUGACCUGGGAGCACUACUUGGGUGCCCCGGCCCCGACGUAGGUGGAUAUCGACUGUGUUUUGUGCGACACGAGGGCCGACAUGGUGAUCCGACAGUUCUGGGUAAUUUCUCCUUUACACAAUUAUAAAUCAACCAUAACUAGUUAUUGUACGAAUCGGUGUUGUCUCGUUUGCAGACCUACUACACGUGUGAGGAGCGAUACGAGGAGGACGCGACAAAGGUUAUCGAAACCGAAUGUCGCCGCCUACUUCAAAACUUUCGACACGAGGCUCGGGUGCAGGCUGUGCGAGACUAAUAUUCCACGCGGCGUAUUAGGAAGGACAAGGCGAAGUGCCGCAAUUCUAAGAUGGAGAAGGAGCAUUACAUGAAGCUAAUUACAUAUUAUUAACGCCUUGUAGUUAGUUUCCUUGUUUUGAUUCUUACGCGUUGCGCUCAAAUUUCUCUUUAUUAACUUAGGUGCCCCCGAGAUGGUGUGUGGAUAAGAUGGAUUUUUGGAAGGCCUUGGUGGAUUAGUGGUGCUGUGAAACGUGGGAGGCCAGCCACAACAACGCCAAGGAGAGGCGUGGAAAAAUGGUUGGUGUGCCACACCAUCAAGGGAGCGUCAACUUAAUCCAAUUUGGCGAGAACUGGGUAUGUGGUUUGCUUCAUGCCUCAUGCAAUUCAUUCUUAUUGCUAUCUUCAACCCUUUACUAAUACAUUUUUCCUCCCUCUCUCUUUUAGGCGCGUCACAAUAAGACGGAGGUGCCACAUAUGUACGACCUGUAUGCGAUGGCCCAUACUGCCUCGUACAAGAAGGUCAAGGCAUUCUCUGAUUCUGACCUCGAGCAUCCAGAAAACUUCACCAACAUCUCCUCCCACCACAAGCUCGUGAAGUACAGAUAUCACAGGAAGGUGAGGAAAGGGGAGGUUUUUAACCAAAGCGAGGGGCCUAUUGAUCCAGAGUUGGUGACGAUAGCUGACAACGGGAGGCCCCAUGGCUCGAUCGCCAUUGGAGACGGCCUUAUAUGUUGUCCUAGCACUCUCUGGCAGAUAAAGGCACGCCAAACGAGCUCCUGUCCUGAGAUAACACCUCGUCCACGGCCAGUCGAGCUCACCAUCGAGGUUAUUAUAAUGGACUCAACUAUGUUUCCGCAUUAUGUUGUGCAUGGGAACCAAUGUGAUUACAAUUCUAACAAUGAGUUGUGUUGCAGGCUACUAUUCUUAAAGAGAGAUAGGCAAUGCACGCGCUUUUGGCAGAGAAGGAUAAGGAGAUGAAGGAGCUGGAGGAGAGGACGGCUGCAUUGGUGGAGGCGGAGAGGGCACGGUAUGAUGCAUCUAACAGGUCCAUGUACGAGCUCUUCGUGGUAAGUUUCUUCUUCAUAUUAUUUAACAUCUUUCAUUUUAAUACCCGUUUCAUUAAUAACUAAAAAGUUUGACUUGUCGAAACCAAAUGUAUAGUCUAUGUGCGAGUAGACCGGCCACGUCCCUCCGGCGAUGCGAGUCAUUAACAUGGCGGGGACGGUGAGUUUCAUUUCAAUGAAGUGAUCUCAAGAGUGUCAUCAUGCUAACGACGCAUUGCAAACGAUGUUUGGUGGAGAAUAUCUCCCGAAACGCAUCGCACGACCCUUCUACAGUGGAGCCUUCUCGAGGGCACCCUACUCCAGGUGAAACAACCAGAGCCACCGUGCUUCACCGCCGUGAUGACAAUAAUGAUAUGUUAUUUCUAUUGUUUUGCUUAACAACCGCAUAAUGGUCCAAUAUGGUUUAUUAAGCAUACUUAGCUCCAAAAUGACAUAUUUAACCCAAGUUAGCUCCAAAACGACAUAUAGUUAAGUUGGCUUCCACCUAAAUGACAUAAUUAGCUUAGUUAGCUCCAAAAUGACCUAUUUAAUAAAAAAUGACAUAUACUUACCUAACUUUUCUUCUAAAUGACAUAAUAAGGCUAUGUAGGUCCAAAAUGACCUACUCCACCUAACUUAGCUAUUAAAUAGCAUAUAAUUAGCUUAGCUAGCUCCAAAAUGCCUUAAUAAUCAUAGUUGGCUCCAAAAUGACAUAUUUUACCCAAUUUAGUUCUAGAAUGGCCUAUACUUAGCUUGGCUUCCACCUAAAUGACAUAAUUAGCUUAGUUAGCUCCAAAAUGGUCUAUUUAAUAAAAAAUGACCUAUACUUAGCUAAUUAUCCUCCAAAAUGACAUAAUUUGGUCCAAAAAGGCAUAAUUAGAUAAUUUAGUUUGAAGAAGAGGACAAGAGGAGAAGAAAGGGGAAAAUGAAAAGAAGGAAGAAGAAGAAGAAGGAGCCCUCCUUCUUCUUCUCUCCUCCUUCUUCUCCUUCUUAUUCUCCUUCUUAUUCUCUUCUUAUUUUCUUCUUCUUCUCCUCUUCCUUCUCCUUCUCCUCCUCCUCCUUCUUCUUCUUCUUCCUUUUCUUCUCCUUCUUCUUCUCUUCUUGCUUUUUCUCUUUCUUCUUCUACGUAGCUUACUUUCCCCAGCAAAGACAUACUUAGCUAAUUAUCCUCCAAAAUGACAUAAUUAUCCUAGUUAGGGAAAAACAUCAUAACAACCUUGGUUAGCUCAUUAAAAUGACUAAUUUAGCUCCAAAAUGACAUAAUAAGCUCAAAAUGGCAUAAGAACCUUAGUUAGCUCAUGAAUAUUAUAUACUUAGCGUGUUUUCCUCUAAAAUGACAUAAUUAGCCCAUUUAGCUCCAAAAAGACAUACUUAGCUAAUAAUCAUCUAUUAAAUAGUCUAUAAUUAGCUUAGCUAGCUCGAAAAUGCCUUAAUAAUCAUAGUUGGAUCCAAAAUGACAUAUUUUACCCAAGUUAGCUCUAGAAUUGCCUAUACUUAGCUUGGCUUCCACCUAAAUGACAUAAUUAGCUUAGCUACCUCCAAAAUGGACUAUUUAAUAAGAAAUGACCUAUACUUAGCUAAUUAUCCUCCAAAUGACAUAAUAGCUCCAAAAAGGCAUAAUUAGCUAAUUUAGCUCUAAGAAGAGGACAAGAGGAGAAGAAAGAGGAAAAAUGAAAAGAAGGAAGAAGAAGAAGAAGAGAAGAAGAAGAUAAAAAGAAGGAGAAGGAAACGGAGGAGAAGAAGGAGAAGGAGCCCUCCUUCUUAUUCUCUCUUGCUUCCCCUUCUUCUUCUCCUUCUUAUUUUCUUCUACUACUCCUCUUCCUUCUCCUCCUCCUCCUCCUCCUCCUUCUUUUUCUUCUUUUUGUUCUCCUUCUUCUUCUCUUCUUGCUUCUUCUCUAUCUUCUUGUGCGCAGCUUAUUUUCCCCAACAAAGACAUACUUAGCUAAUUAUCCUCCAAAAUGACAUAAUUAUCUUAGUUAGAUAAAAACAUCAUAAGAACCUUGGUUAGCUCAUUAAAAUGACUAAGUUAUCUCCAAAAUGACAUAAUAAGCUCAAAAUGACAUAAGAACCUUGGUUAGGUCAUGAAUAUUAUAUACUUAGCNUCUUUUCCUCUAAAAUGAUAUAAUUAGCCCAUUUAGCUCCAAAAUGUCCUAUUUAAUAAAAAAAGACCAAUACUUACCUAAGUUCUCUUAUAAAUGACAUAAUAAGGCUAUGUAGCUCCAAGAUGACCUAUUCCAACUAACUUAGCUAUUAAAUUGCCUAUAAUUAGCAUAGUUAGCUCCAAAAUGGCUUAAUAAUCAUAGUUGGCUCCAAAAUGACAUAUUUUACCCAAGCUAGAUCUAGAAUGGCCUAUCCUUAGCUUGUCUUCCACCUAAAUGACAAAAUUAGCUUUGUUAGCUCGAAAAUGACCUAUAAAAAAUGAUCUAUACUUACCUAAGUUCUCUUCUAAAUGACAUAAUAAGGCUAUGUAGCUCCAAGAUGACCUAUUCCACCAAACUUAGCUAUUAAAUGGCCUAUAAUUAGCUUAUCUAGCUCCAAAAUUCCUUAAUAAUCAUAGUUGGUUUCAAAAUGACAUAUUUUACCAAGUUAGCUCUAGAAUGGACUAUACUUAGGUGAGCUUCCACCUAAAUGACAUAAUUAGCUUAGUUAGCUCCAAAAUGGCCUAUUUAAUAAGAAAUGACCUAUACUAAGAUAAUUAUCCUCCAAAAUGACAUAUUUAGAUCGAAAAAGGCAUAAUUAGCUAAUUUAGCUGGAAGAAGAGGACAAGAGGAGAAGAUAGAGGAAAAAUGAAAAGAAGGAAGAAGAAGAAGAGAAGAAGAAGGAGAAGGAGAAGAAGGAGAAGAAGGAGCCCUCCUUCUUCUUCUCUCCUCCUUCUUCUCCUUCCUCUUCUCCUUCUUAUUCUCUUCUUCUUUUCUUCUUCUUCUCCUCUUCCUUCUCCUUCUCCUCCUCCUCCUCCUCCUUCUUCUUCUUUUUCUUCUCCUUCUUCUUCCCUUCUUGGUUCUUCUCUUUCUUCUUCUACGUAGCUUAUUUUCCCCAACAAAGACAUACUUAGCUAAUUAUCCUUCAAAAUGACAUAAUUAGCUUAUUUAGGUAAAAACAUCAUAAGAACCUUGGUUAGCUCAUUAAAAUGACUAAUUUAGCUCCAAACUGACGUAAUAAGCUCAAAAUGGCAUAAGAACCGUGGUUAGCUCAUGAAAAUUAUGUACUUAGCUUGUAUUCCUCUAAAAUGACAUAAUUAUUGCAUUUAGCUCCAAAAACACAUACUUAGGUAAUAAUCAGUUAUUAAAUAGCCUAUAAUUAGCUUAGCUAUCUCCAAAAUGCCUUAAUAAUCAUAGUUGGCUCCAAAAUGACAUAUUUUACCCAAGUUAGCUCUAGAAUGGCCUAUACUUUGCUUGGCUUCCACCUAAAUGACAUAAUUAGCAUAGUUAGCUCGAAAAUGGCCUAUUUAAUAAGAAAUGACCUAUACUUAGCUACUUAUCCUCCAAAAUAACAUAAUUAGCUUCAAAAAGGCAUUAUUAGCUAAUUUAGCUCGAAGAAGAGGACAAGAGGAGAAGAAAGAGGAAAAAUGAAAAGAAGGAAGAAGAAGAAGAAGAGAAGAGAAGAAGAAGAGAAGAAGAAGGAGAAGGAGAAGGAGGACAAGAAGGAGAAGGAGCCCUCCUUCUUAUUCUCUCCUCCUUCUUCUCCUUCUUAUUUUCUUCUUCUUCUCCUAUUCCUUCUCCUUCUCCUUCUCCUUCUUCUUCUUCUUCUUCUUCUUCUUUUUCUUCUCCUUCUUCUUCUCUUCUUGCUUCUUCUCUUUCUUGUUCUAUGUAGCUUAUUUUCCCCAAGAAAGAUAUACUUAGCUAAUUAUCCUCCAAAAUAAAAUAAUUAGCUUAGUUAGGUACAAACAUCAAAAGAACCUUGGUUAGCUCAUUAAAAUGACUAAUUUAGCUUCAGAAUGACAUAACAGGCUCAAAAUGGCAUAAGAACCUUGGUUAGUUCAUGAAUAUUAUAUACUUAGCUUGUUUUCCUCUAAAAUGACAUAACUAGCCCAUUUAGCUCACAAAUGGCCUAUUUAAUAAAAAAUGACCUAUACUUACCUAAGUUCUCUUCUAAAUGACAUAAUAAGGCUAUGUAGCUCCAAGAUGAUCUAUUAUACCAAACUUAGCUAUUAAAUGACCAAUAAUUAGCUUAGUUAGCUCCAAAAUGGCUUAAUAAUCAUAGUUGGCUCCAAAAUGACAUAUUUUUACCCAAGUUAGCUCUAGAAUGGCCUAUACUUAGUUUGGCUUCCAACUAAAUGACAUAAUUAGCUUAGUUAGCUUCGAAAUGACAUAUUUAAUAAAAAAUGACCUAUACUUACCUAAGUUCUCUUCUAAAUGACAUAAUAAGGCUAUGUAGCUCCAAGAUGAUCUAUUCCACCUAACUUAGCUAUUAAAUGGCCUAUAAUUAGCUUAGCUAGCUCCAAAAUGCCUUAAUAAUCAUAGUUGGCUCCAAAAUGACAUGUUUUAUCCAAAUUAGCUCUAGAAUGGCCUAUACUUAGGUAAGUUAUCUCCGAAAUGACAUAAUAAGGCUAUGUAGCUCCAAGAUGACCUAUUCCACCUAACUUAGCUAUUAAAUGGCCUAUUAUUAGCUUAUCUAGAUCCAAAAUGGUUUAAUAAGCAUAGUUGGCCCCAAAAUGACAUAUUUUUCCCAAAGUAGCUCCAAAAUGACAUAUAGUUAGCUAAGUUCUCCCCUAAAUGACAUAAUAAGGCUAUGUAGCUCCAAGAUGACUUAUUUCCCAAAACUUAGCUAUUAAAUGGCCUAUACUUAGCUAAGUUCUCUCUGAAAUGACCUAUACUUCUCUUCUUCAUCUAGUCUUUUUCUUCUAACUUUCUUAUUUGCCAUUUUGCAUAUUACAUUCACUUCACGGGAACUUGGAUUAUAUUCAUGGAGUGCUUGAAUAUGGUUGAUUCUACCAUGGCUUCAUGGAAGCUUGGAUUGAAACUAUUGUAGUAUAUGGAUAUAUAUGAAACUUUGUAUGCAUGGAUGAAACUAGUGUAAUAUAUGGUUUGCUACGAAUGCAACUUGCAUAAUAUGUAUGUAUUAUGGAUGAAAGUUAUUUUAUUAUGGUUAUGAGUAUGGAAACAAAAUUAUUUCUGUCAAAUAUAUAUAUAUAUAUAUAUAUCCUGAUUAUUGUGAAAAUUAUUCCUGAUUUGUGUGAAAAUUUCUGGAUAUUAUAGAAAAUAAAAUAAAAAGGGUUGUUUUGAGACUUUGCCAUCCGCCCACCGACAGCAAAGGGCUUGCAACAAACGGCAAAGGCUGAAACAUGCCUGGACUGAAACAUGUUGGGGUGCCCCCUUUGUCGUCGGCCUCACUCAUGGCUGACGGCAAAGGGGGAGGGAAGAAAACAAAGGUGCAGGGAGAGAGGGGCUGGGUGCCCCCCUUUGCCCUCGGCCUCAAACAUGGCUGACGGCAUGGGGGGAGGAAAUACGGCAAAGGGGGGUAGGGCAGACGACAAAGCGGGGGUGGGCCGAGCAAGCUGUCGUUAGCACUUAACCAAAGCGCUUGCGGAUCUGCCGUCCCAUUUUGUUUGCCGUCAGCCCCCCCCCCAUGGCAAAGAUUCUUUGACAUCCACCUUCCAAAGGCAGACGGCAAAGAACCUCUUCACCGGAUAAAUCUUUGUCAUCUAGUUUGUCGUCCGCUGACGGACGGGAAAGGCUUUGCCAUCCGGGGUGCCCCCCUUUGCCUUCUGCCAUGGCGGACGGCAAAGUUUCUGAUCCCUGUACUGCACAUGACAUGCAAGACCAUCGUCAUCCAAUAAAAGUCUAAUCAGUCUAGUCACAUGGAUCUAGCAAUUAACCAUGCAGUAACUAAACAUAACACACAUAGCAAUCAAUAGAAAGGUGCAUAUUACCUCACGCGGACCAGCCAACAUGAAAAAAUGAGAAAAGUUUUCUUAGAGAACCUCAUUUAUAAGGAUUUAUCCCAGGGCAAAAGGAUUUGUUGCUAACUAAUGAACAUGUUUAUCUAGAAAGUUAGCACCAUUGUAUGAAGUAUCUAGAAAUUGUGCAGAGAUAAGCUGAUCAAACAAAUUCCUUUAUAACAUAUAAUUACAUGAGCGAACAUAGUUAGCAAUCCCUUGACCUCCCAAUGCAUUUUCUACCGAGGAUCCUUCGUAUUCAAAUAGAAGGAUCGAAUUGUUGAUGGCUAAGUUGCACCUCUCCAUUGGGGACUGCGAGAGGUGAAAUUCGGGAGCUACAAUGACGAACCUAGGCAUGUACUUGCGAGAGGUAAAUUUAAACAAAUUUGCAUUCAGUAUAUAAGCAAGAAAUCAAUGAAAAACUUUUCAAAUAGAAGAGUAAUGGUAGGCUAAUAGGAACUCACUCCUAGAUUUUGUACCAAACAGAAGAUCCAGUAAUGUUGUGGAAUUGUCAACGGUUAUGGCUCCUUCAGUAUGGUCAACCAAGAUUAAAAAAUCAGUUUCCACAUUAGACAAAGAAGUCAAGCACCUUUUGGUACAAAAGGAAACAUGCUACAUUUAAGUUAAUUCAACACAUCCAAAAGUAAGGAAAGGAAGAUACUUACUAAUUCUUGUACAUCUACACAUGAUAGAAGGCCACAACUCUGAAAUAAGUCAACCCGUUUGACCAAUGUUCAAUGCAAAUUAAAAAGUUUCAAGUUGUAACUACUCUCAACAAAUCUGCUAUCAGUCCCUCCAUAUUUACACAUAAAAACACUAAUUAAGGAUGGACACUUUCCAACAUAUUUUAUCCGAACAGCUAGCUGCUAAGCUCUCAACAGUCGAAUAAGUGUUGGAAAAUCAAUGGCCAUAGCGUCCGGCAAAGGAUGACCGCACAUGGGAAGGAUGGAGGGAGGGAAAGGAGAAAAGAUUACCCCAACAUUUGCUCAGCUCUGUCCUCCCAUAUCCACUAGCCUCCUCAAGCACCUCAGGGAUAGAUCCCCUUCUUCCGUUGCUCGCAUGUGACACCACCUAACUCCUCCCUAUGUCUCUCAAUCUCAUCGGUAGCUGGG